CACUAAUAACAAGCUACCGUUAACAACAGCUGCUUUUUGUUUUUCUGUUUCCAGCCUCCAUACCUUCAUGACAUCCAUCUAUCUGACAACUGGGCUGGGAGAGUAGUGGUGUCUAUACUGCAUAAGUGAAGAAAAUGAGACUCAGGCUAGGUACACUGCUCGAUGAUGUACAAUUACGUGUAGUGGUGAAUGUGAGAUUAAACCUUGGAUUUGUCUGGCUCCGACAUCUCCAUGCCUUCCACAACAGUAAAACUCAGAAGACAGAGAGGAUGGUACUUCCAGAUGACCUGGUGACAAUGGAGCACUGCCAAGUAAACCCCAAGAAAAUGUACAGACUCAACGUGAAGUUUUGUUGGCUUCUGAGAAAGUGGUAAGUUUGUAGAUAUCAUCACAUAAUUAAAUGUAUCCUUAAGAACUAAUGUGUUAGCUAGGCAUUU
ensembl:lincRNA